rnacentral:rRNA from 1 species
CUCAUCAACCCUGUGAACAUACCUAAACGUUGCUUCGGCGGGAACAGACGGCCCCGUAACACGGGCCGCCCCCGCCAGAGGACCCCCUAACUCUGUUUCUAUAAUGUUUCUUCUGAGUAAAACAAGCAAAUAAAUUAAAACUUUCAACAACGGAUCUCUUGGCUCUGGCAUCGAUGAAGAACGCAGCGAAAUGCGAUAAGUAAUGUGAAUUGCAGAAUUCAGUGAAUCAUCGAAUCUUUGAACGCACAUUGCGCCCGCCAGUAUUCUGGCGGGCAUGCCUGUUCGAGCGUCAUUACAACCCUCAGGCCCCCGGGCCUGGCGUUGGGGAUCGGCGGAGCCCCCCGCGGGCACACGCCGUCCCCCAAAUACAGUGGCGGUCCCGCCGCAGCUUCCAUUGCGUAGUAGCUAACACCUCGCAACUGGAGAGCGGCGCGGCCACGCCGUAAAACCCCCAACUUCUGAACGUUGACCUCGAAUCAGGUAGGAAUACCCGCUGAACUUAAGCAUAUCAAUAAGCGGAGGAAAAGAAACCAACAGGGAUUGCCCUAGUAACGGCGAGUGAAGCGGCAACAGCUCAAAUUUGAAAUCUGGCUCUCGGGCCCGAGUUGUAAUUUGUAGAGGAUGCUUUUGGUGAGGUGCCUUCCGAGUUCCCUGGAACGGGACGCCAUAGAGGGUGAGAGCCCCGUCUGGUUGGACACCGAUCCUCUGUAAAGCUCCUUCGACGAGUCGAGUAGUUUGGGAAUGCUGCUCUAAAUGGGAGGUAUAUGUCUUCUAAAGCUAAAUACCGGCCAGAGACCGAUAGCGCACAAGUAGAGUGAUCGAAAGAUGAAAAGAACUUUGAAAAGAGAGUUAAAAAGUACGUGAAAUUGUUGAAAGGGAAGCGCUUGUGACCAGACUUGGGCUUGGUUGAUCAUCCAGGGUUCUCCCUGGUGCACUCUUCCGGCCCAGGCCAGCAUCAGUUCGCCCCGGGGGAAAAAGGCUUCGGGAAUGUGGCUCUCUCCGGGGAGUGUUAUAGCCCGUUGCGUAAUACCCUGUGGCGGACUGAGG